rnacentral:misc_RNA from 1 species
AGCAACAGUAUGUGGUAAUUCCAUUUUAACAGUAUUAAUGGACAAGAUUAAUGAAUGCAUUGCUACAAAAAAUUUGACAGAUGCAGAAAACAUCUUGCAAACUGUGAUGAAAAAUUUUACUGCUGAAUUUCAUUUGCCGCUUUCUAUUCUGUCAGAAAUUAAAUCUAUAAAUAAUGAUAUAAAUUCAGUAGAAAAAGACUGUUCCAAUAUGCAGUAUGAAAUUUCUUCGCAAAAUAUAAAAAAUAGUAGGAAAAGAUCAUUUACUGAAGAUGAUUCAGAAAUUUCAAAAAGAAAAAAACUAAAUGAAUCUGAACUCUAUUCCAAUCCAUCAGUGCUUUGUAAUAGUACUUCUGGUAUACCUUCUGAGGAACCAAUGAUACCAUGUAUUGUUCAGCAUCAAAGUUCAUUUGGAAUUCAAAUGCUUCAUGACAUUAAUAGACAUGUACCUCGUUGUUUUGGUCACUAUAUUUAAAAUACUCUUCAGUAUAUUAUAAUGUUAAGAAAGCUUUGUGAUUAAUUCUUCUGAAGAUCAAAACAUAAAUUUGUUAUGACUGCCUGUUAGCUUUUCAAUGUAAUUUAUGUUCUUGGAUUGUUUGAAUUCUGAAAAUAUUUACAGUUAAGUAACUUUGGGGUUUUAAUUUAAAAUAAUUUUUGUUACUAAUAUUCAAAAAUUAUAUGAGAGUAUGUGGGAUAUAGACCAAUAAUUUCAAAACACUUGCAUGAAUGAAAUGUUUUAAAUACCGUAAGUAUAUAUUGAAGUAAGAACGUGUAUAUCAGAUAGGCAUAGUUUAUUUAUUUUUCAAUGACCUAGAUUCAUUUAUAAUUAUUUUAGUUAACUUUGCCAUUAUCGUAAACUUGUAAGCUUGAAUUCAUAGUAGAGUACUUAUCAUUUGUAAUUACUUUUAGUAGUAUAUGAGAUUAUAAACAAAUGUAUUCCAUAAAAAUUCUUCGGAUGUUGAAGAAUAGCAAUUUUGUAUAGGAGAUUGUGAUUUGCAUUAUUCAUUGCAUUUAUUAAUAGCUACUGCUGGAUAUUAAAACCUUUAAUAAUAAUUUAUAACAAUUGUAAUGUGAUAAAUUGAAUUUUUAAGAUUUAUGCAUUUCAUAAGAAUCUCCAUUUUACUGUUGCAGUAUAUUUUUUAUUUAUAGAUGUAUAUUUUAAUAUUUCAUAACUUAAAAACAUUUGUGAAGUCAAAUGUAUUGUGCUGUUGUGAUAAUAUUCAUAACUAAGAAUAUUAUUGUAUGCUAUUCACUGCUAAAAAAUAGGGUUGUUUUGCUUCCCAUGGAAGCAAUCCUUUAUCAAAAUGAACUUUUUUAAUAGUUACGUAGAAAUAUAUAAAUAUAUUAUGGCUUUUUCUAUAUGAUUAAAUGUUAUUAGUUUAGUUAGUGGCAUGAAAAAAGUUAAAGCCACAUUGGUUUAAUUUAUUGUAAAUAAAAAGUUAUAUAAUGAGUGUUGUUGUAAUGUUUUUAAUUUUGAAUUCAGUCACUUUAUAUAAUUAAUAUAUUCUCAAUAAAACAUAUAGGAACUAUAAAAAUUAAAUUAUAAAUAUGAAGAAAAAACAAAUGUCCAAAUCUUAGGAAUGAAUACAUUUGUUAGUGGCAAUAACUAGAAAGAAUAUGACAAGUCACAAUGUUGUGUAUUGCAUCACA